CCUACACGACCGUACCGCAAACCGACACUGGUGCGCGAGAUGAGUAUUCUAAGGCGCUUGAGAGAACUCAGGAGAAGGAACUCGGCAAAUUGACACCGUAACUUCGGAAGAAGGUGUGCCUUUAGUAGGUGAAGUCCCUCGCGGAUGGAGCCCAAUGAGGUUGCAAAAAAUCGGUGGCUGCGACUGUUUAUUAAAAACACAGCACUCUGCAAACACGAAAGUGGACGUAUAGGGUGUGACGCCUGCCCGGUGCUGGAAGAUUAAAUGAUGGGGUGCAAGCUCUUGAUUGAAGUCCCAGUAAACGGCGGCCGUAACAAUAACGGUCCUAAGGUAGCGAAAUUCCUUGUCGGGUAAGUUCCGACCUGCACGAAUGGCGUAACGAUGGCCACACUGUCUCCUCCUGAGACUCAGCGAAGUUGAAAUGUUUGUGAUGAUGCAAUCUCCCCGCGGAAAGACGGAAAGACCCCAUGAACCUUUACUGUAGCUUUGUAUUGGACUUUGAACAGAUCUGUGUAGGAUAGGUGGGAGGCUUUGAAGCAGGGUCGCUAGAUCUUGUGGAGCCAACGUUGAAAUACCACCCUGGUGUGUUUGAGGUUCUAACCUAGGCCCGUAAUCCGGGUUGGGGACAGUGCAUGGUAGGCAGUUUGACUGGGGCGGUCUCCUCCCAAAGUGUAACGGAGGAGUUCGAAGGUACGCUAGUUACGGUCGGACAUCGUGACGAUAGUGCAAUGGCAUAAGCGUGCUUAACUGCGAGACUGACAAGUCGAGCAGAUGCGAAAGCAGGACAUAGUGAUCCGGUGGUUCUGUAUGGAAGGGCCAUCGCUCAACGGAUAAAAGGUACUCUGGGGAUAACAGGCUGAUACCGCCCAAGAGUUCAUAUCGACGGCGGUGUUUGGCACCUCGAUGUCGGCUCAUCUCAUCCUGGGGCUGUAGCCGGUCCCAAGGGUAUGGCUGUUCGCCAUUUAAAGAGGUACGUGAGCUGGGUUUAAAACGUCGUGAGACAGUUUGGUCCCUAUCUUCCGUGGGCGCUGCAGAUUUGAGGAAGCCUGCUCCUAGUACGAGAGGACCGGAGUGGACGCACCUCUGGUGUAUCGGUUGUCACGCCAGUGGCAUUGCCGAGUAGCUAUGUGCGGAAGAGAUAACCGCUGAAAGCAUCUAAGCGGGAAACUCGUUUCAAGAUGAGAUCUGCCGGGGCCUUGAGCCCCCUGAAGAGUCGUUCAAGACCAGGACGUUGAUAGGUCGGGUGUGGAAGCGCAGUAAUGCGUUAAGCUAACCGAUACUAAUUGCUCGUGCGGCUUGACCU
rnacentral:rRNA from 1 species